CAAUACGUAAGACACUAAACAAGAAUGGUGUUCAUGGGAGGACACCACGGAAGAAGCCACUGCUGUCCAAAUAAAACAUUGCUACACUGUCUGAAUUUUGUCAAAGUGCACCUGGAUGUUCCACAACGCUACCAGCAUAAUGUUCUGUGGACAGAUGAAACUGCAGUUGAGUUGUUUGGAAGGAACACACAACACCGUGUGGAGGAAAAGGCACAGCACACCAACAUCAAAACAUCAUCCCAACUGUAAAGUAUGGUGGAGGGAGCAUCAUGGUUUGGGGCUGCUUUGCUGCCCCAGGGCCUGGUCAGCUUGCUAUCGUUGACAGAAAAAUGAAUUCCCAUGUUUAUCAAGACAUUUUGAAGGAGAAUGUUCGGCUAACUGUUCUCCAAUUGAACCUCAACAGAAGUUGGGAGAUGCAACAGGACAAUGAUGCAAAACACAGAAGUAAAUCAACAGAAGAAAAUAAGCCUUCUGGAGUGGCCCAGUCAGAGUCCUGACCUCAACCCCAUUGAGAUGCUGUGGCAUGACCUCGAGAGCAGUUCACACCAGACAUCCCAAGAAUAUUGCUGAACUGAAACAGUUUUGUAAAGAGGAAUGGUGUUACAUUUAUUGUUUCUGUAUUGUGUUUUUUUUUGUAUGUGUGUUUCAGGAUGGCUUCCUAAAAUUCCCCCAAGCAGCUGAUUGGUCGGCCCCAUUGCUAAUUGGAGCUGAACCCGCCCUCUCGUCAGAGGAUACAGCUGUUUCCCAUUGGACUCCUCCUGAAGCUAGAAAAGCCUGUGUUCCUUUGUUAGGAGAGAGCUGAUUGUUAUGUUCUGUGCUAGUUUGUUGCUCAGAGAAAGAGAGCUUAUUAGUAUGUCCUGUGUGUGUCAAUAGGACGCAGUGUUUUUGAUUCUUGAAGUUGUUUACUUAUGUUUGUAUUCUGUUUCAUUUGUUCCCAGGGGGGAAGGGGAAGGCAACUAGGGAGUGCUUAGGCAAGAGGCCUGCGGGAAUACAUAACCAGUAGUAUUUACAGUCUAUGCACACUAGGUAAGACCUGGGCGGACCACCCCCUGUAUUUUGGUUAGCGCACCAGGAGGUGCUAAAAGGUUAGGUAAGUGGGUAGGCAGGUAAGAUAGGAGAGGGCAGGUUAGGUAAGUAGUGGGUAGGCAGGUAAGAUAGGAUAGGAGAGGGUAGGUUAGGUAAGUAGUGGGUAGGCAGGUAAGAUAGGAUAGGAGAGGGUAGGUUAGGUAAGUAGUGGGUAGGCAGGUAAGAUAGGAGAGGGUAGGUUAGGUAAGUAGUGGGUAGGCAGGUAAGAUAGGAGAGGGCAGGUUAGGUAAGUAGUGGGUAGGCAGGUAAGAUGGUAGAUGGGGCUUUGACAUUUACUUUCUUUGCUUUGGUUCCGUUCAGCUCCUUUCCCUCAAAUGUAUCGUGUGAAGGAAUAAAUUACCAGUAAAGGGUCA
ensembl:lncRNA